ensembl:snoRNA
GAUCAGUGAGGAAAACAGCCAGAUCUGCAACAUCCAAAGAUCUUCCAGGCUACCUAGGCAUGAUCUCUAUAGUUCUGAGA